GGCGUGCUUAACACAUGCAAGUCGAACGAUGAAGCUGGAGCUUGCUCCGGUGGAUUAGUGGCGAACGGGUGAGUAACACGUGAGCAAUCUGCCCUUCACUCUGGGAUAACUGCGGGAAACUGUAGCUAAUACCGGAUACGAAGCCUUGGGGCAUCCUAGGGCUUGGAAAGAAUUUCGGUGAAGGAUGAGCUCGCGGCCUAUCAGCUAGUUGGUGAGGUAAUGGCUCACCAAGGCGACGACGGGUAGCCGGCCUGAGAGGGUGACCGGCCACACUGGGACUGAGACACGGCCCAGACUCCUACGGGAGGCAGCAGUGGGGAAUAUUGCACAAUGGGCGAAAGCCUGAUGCAGCAACGCCGCGUGAGGGAUGAAGGCCUUCGGGUUGUAAACCUCUUUUAGCAGGAAAGAAGCGAAAGUGACGGUACCUGCAGAAAAAGCACCGGGCUAACUACGUGCCAGCAGCCGCGGUAAUACGUAGGGUGCAAGCGUUGUCCGGAAUUAUUGGGCGUAAAGAGCUCGUAGGCGGUUUGUCGCGUCUGCUGUGAAAAUCCGAAGCUCAACUUCGGACCUGCAGUGGGUACGGGCAAACUAGAGUGCGGUAGGGGAGAAGGGAAUUCCUGGUGUAGCGGUGGAAUGCGCAGAUAUCAGGAGGAACACCGAUGGCGAAGGCACUUCUCUGGGCCGUAACUGACGCUGAGGAGCGAAAGCGUGGGGAGCGAACAGGAUUAGAUACCCUGGUAGUCCACGCCGUAAACGGUGGGUGCUAGUUGUGGGUUCCAUUCCACGGAAUCCGCGCCGUCGCUAACGCAUUAAGUGCCCCGCCUGGGGAGUACGGUCGCAAGACUA
rnacentral:rRNA from 1 species